rnacentral:rRNA from 1 species
AGAGUUUGAUCCUGGCUCAGGAUGAACGCUAGCGACAGGCUUAACACAUGCAAGUCGAGGGGCAGCGGGGUGUAGCAAUACACCGCCGGCGACCGGCGCACGGGUGAGUAACGCGUAUGCAACUUACCUAUCAGAGGGGGAUAACCCGGCGAAAGUCGGACUAAUACCGCAUGAAGCAGGGGCCCCGCAUGGGGAUAUUUGCUAAAGAUUCAUCGCUGAUAGAUAGGCAUGCGUUCCAUUAGGCAGUUGGCGGGGUAACGGCCCACCAAACCGACGAUGGAUAGGGGUUCUGAGAGGAAGGUCCCCCACAUUGGUACUGAGACACGGACCAAACUCCUACGGGAGGCAGCAGUGAGGAAUAUUGGUCAAUGGACGCAAGUCUGAACCAGCCAUGCCGCGUGCAGGAAGACGGCUCUAUGAGUUGUAAACUGCUUUUGUACGAGGGUAAACUCACCUACGUGUAGGUGACUGAAAGUAUCGUACGAAUAAGGAUCGGCUAACUCCGUGCCAGCAGCCGCGGUAAUACGGAGGAUUCAAGCGUUAUCCGGAUUUAUUGGGUUUAAAGGGUGCGUAGGCGGUUUGAUAAGUUAGAGGUGAAAUCCCGGGGCUUAACUCCGGAACUGCCUCUAAUACUGUUAGACUAGAGAGUAGUUGCGGUAGGCGGAAUGUAUGGUGUAGCGGUGAAAUGCUUAGAGAUCAUACAGAACACCGAUUGCGAAGGCAGCUUACCAAACUAUAUCUGACGUUGAGGCACGAAAGCGUGGGGAGCAAACAGGAUUAGAUACCCUGGUAGUCCACGCAGUAAACGAUGAUAACUCGUUGUCGGCGAUACACAGUCGGUGACUAAGCGAAAGCGAUAAGUUAUCCACCUGGGGAGUACGUUCGCAAGAAUGAAACUCAAAGGAAUUGACGGGGGCCCGCACAAGCGGAGGAACAUGUG